rnacentral:tRNA from 1 species
GCCGCCGUAGCUCAGUGGUAGAGCAUCGGACUCGUUAUUCGAAGGUCGCAGGUUCGGUCCCUGUCGGCGGCA